CCUACGGGGUGCUGCAGUGGGGAAUAUUGGACAAUGGGCGAAAGCCUGAUCCAGCCAUGCCGCGUGUGUGAAGAAGGCCUUCGGGUUGUAAAGCACUUUCAGUGGGGAAGAAAGCCUUGGGGCUAAUACCCUCGAGGAAGGACAUCACCCACAGAAGAAGCACCGGCUAACUCCGUGCCAGCAGCCGCGGUAAUACGGAGGGUGCGAGCGUUGAUCGGAAUUACUGGGCGUAAAGCGCGCGUAGGCGGUCUGAUAAGCCGGUUGUGAAAGCCCCGGGCUCAACCUGGGAACGGCAUCCGGAACUGUCAGGCUAGAGUGCAGGAGAGGAAGGUAGAAUUCCCGGUGUAGCGGUGAAAUGCGUAGAGAUCGGGAGGAAUACCAGUGGCGAAGGCGGCCUUCUGGACUGACACUGACGCUGAGGUGCGAAAGCGUGGGUAGCAAACAGGAUUAGAUACCCGGUAGUC
rnacentral:rRNA from 1 species